rnacentral:lncRNA from 1 species
AGCGUUUGAAACAUGGCGGACGACGUAGAUCAGGUAAGUUUGACCUGAGGCGUUCGAAGAGGAAAUGCUUUCGCUUCUCGCUUUUUCCACGCUUCCCGUGGGAUGGCCCUUUUCUUUUUUUCCGAGUCACCACGGCCUUCCGUAGCCGGGCCUGCUCCUGAAACCUCCGUAGGCCCAGAGUUUCUCAACCCGCCCGUCUACCCAUCGCGCUCGUCGUCGCCCUUUCUCUGUAGAAUGAAUGCAGGCGGCUGGAGAUGCCCAUCUCUGGGAGCUAGCUGUCGGGAUUCCGACAGAAAGCGGGAGGUCGUAGCAGGACACCAGUUUAGCAAUCCGAGUGAACACGGGGGGCACAGGCAGUGGUUCCCUUGGAGUGAAUUACGAGGGGAGGUCAGAGGAAAGGUGCAGUUCUAGGAGAUGGAGAAACUGCUAGAGAUGGAGUAUGAAGAAAACAAGCAAAGAUCUGGUACACAGGCCAACAGAAGGGCCUACGGGCCUCUGCACCUACCCUUCCCUAUUUCUUAGGUAGCUGGUGUACCUUGGCCACCAAAAUGUCUUUCACACCCUCACAUGCACACACAGCCCCUGCACACACACACACACACACACACACACACACACACACACACGUACGUACGUGCUACCCUACUGUGUUUCUCUCCAGAGCAUGUUGUUUUAAAUAUGUAUAGCCCCUGCACACACACACACACACACACACACACACACGUAUGUACGUACGUACGUGCUACCCUACUGUGUUUCUCUCCAGAGCAUGUUGUUUUAAAUAUGUAUUUAUUUAAAGUGUUUCUUCCACAACUAGAGUGUAAGUUCCUUAAUGGGGAUUUAUUGGGGCUGGAGAGGUGGCUUGGCAGAUAAGAGCGCUUGCUGAUCUUGGAGACAACCCUGGUUGUGUACUAGCACCCACAUGCUGCUCUCUCAGCUGACCAGUGAUUGAAACACCACCCGGCCUCUGUAUCCUAUGAGUAAGCCUUUGCCUUUCCUCAGCAACAGACCACCAAUACCGUAGAGGAGCCCCUGGAUCUGAUCAGGCUCAGCCUGGAUGAGCGAAUUUAUGUGAAAAUGAGAAAUGACCGAGAGCUUCGAGGCAGACUACACGUAAGUCUGUUAAAACAUCUCAGAGCCAGAGGCUGCAUCCUACCUCCUUACAAAUUAGAACUGCAGUGUAAACUUACUUUUUUGAAUUUCUUUUGGGAAUUGGAAAAUCCUUCUAUUCACUUUUAAAAUAUGUUUUCCUUAACCAGAAUGGUUUUUUAGAGAGGGGUGGGACUCCGGUGAGACAGAACAAGGCAUCUGAUCCCCUGGAGCUAGAGUUACAGACUGUUGUGAGCUGCCUGAUACGCUCAGGUCCUGUUCAGGAAUCCAGUGCUCUUAGCUUGAGCAUCUCUCCAACCAUAGAGAACACUUUCGUUUCCUUCAGUUUUGUCUUCUGCUUAUUUAUGAAUAAACUUGUUUGUUCUCUUGGGUUUAGACAAGGUCAUACUAGAAAACCUGGCUAGCUUCAAACUCCAGCUCCCUCUGCCUCUCUCCUGAGAGCUGGGAUUACAGACAUGCUCUUCAUUCUUGGCAUUGUCCUGGAUUUUUUAAAGUUAUUGGAUAGGGUAUUUUAGCUUUUGACAUAUAAAGCUCUGUUUUGUCAUGAAAAGAAUUAAAUAGCAGGCUAGAGAUAGUUUGCCUAGCAUGCGGCAAAGCCCCUACCCUAGCACUACCC